AUGAACGCUAGCUACAGGCUUAACACAUGCAAGUCGAGGGGCAGCAUGGUCUUAGCUUGCUAAGGCCGAUGGCGACCGGCGCACGGGUGAGUAACACGUAUCCAACCUGCCGUCUACUCUUGGACAGCCUUCUGAAAGGAAGAUUAAUACAAGAUGGCAUCAUGAGUUCACAUGUUCACAUGAUUAAAGGUAUUCCGGUAGACGAUGGGGAUGCGUUCCAUUAGAUAGUAGGCGGGGUAACGGCCCACCUAGUCUUCGAUGGAUAGGGGUUCUGAGAGGAAGGUCCCCCACAUUGGAACUGAGACACGGUCCAAACUCCUACGGGAGGCAGCAGUGAGGAAUAUUGGUCAAUGGGCGAGAGCCUGAACCAGCCAAGUAGCGUGAAGGAUGACUGCCCUAUGGGUUGUAAACUUCUUUUAUAAAGGAAUAAAGUCGGGUAUGGAUACCCGUUUGCAUGUACUUUAUGAAUAAGGAUCGGCUAACUCCGUGCCAGCAGCCGCGGUAAUACGGAGGAUCCGAGCGUUAUCCGGAUUUAUUGGGUUUAAAGGGAGCGUAGAUGGAUGUUUAAGUCAGUUGUGAAAGUUUGCGGCUCAACCGUAAAAUUGCAGUUGAUACUGGAUAUCUUGAGUGCAGUUGAGGCAGGCGGAAUUCGUGGUGUAGCGGUGAAAUGCUUAGAUAUCACGAAGAACUCCGAUUGCGAAGGCAGCCUGCUAAGCUGCAACUGACAUUGAGGCUCGAAAGUGUGGGUAUCAAACAGGAUUAGAUACCCUGGUAGUCCACACGGUAAACGAUGAAUACUCGCUGUUUGCGAUAUACUGCAAGCGGCCAAGCGAAAGCGUUAAGUAUUCCACCUGGGGAGUACGCCGGCAACGGUGAAACUCAAAGGAAUUGACGGGGGCCCGCACAAGCGGUGGAGUAUGUGGUUUAAUUCGAAGCAACGCGAAGAACCUUACCAGGUCUUGACAUCCGAUGCAUAACACAGAGAUGUGUGAAAUCCUUCGGGACAUCGAGACAGGUGGUGCAUGGUUGUCGUCAGCUCGUGCCGUGAGGUGUCGGCUUAAGUGCCAUAACGAGCGCAACCCUUGUUGUCAGUUACUAACAGGUUCCGCUGAGGACUCUGACAAGACUGCCAUCGUAAGAUGUGAGGAAGGUGGGGAUGACGUCAAAUCAGCACGGCCCUUACGUCCGGGGCUACACACGUGUUACAAUGGGGGGUACAGAGGGCCGCUACCACGCGAGUGGAUGCCAAUCCCCAAAACCUCUCUCAGUUCGGACUGGAGUCUGCAACCCGACUCCACGAAGCUGGAUUCGCUAGUAAUCGCGCAUCAGCCACGGCGCGGUGAAUACGUUCCCGGGCCUUGUACACACCGCCCGUCAAGCCAUGGGAGCCGGGGGUACCUGAAGUGCGUAACCGCGAGGAGCGCCCUAGGGUAAAACUGGUGACUGGGGCU
rnacentral:rRNA from 1 species